rnacentral:rRNA from 1 species
UACGUAGGGGGCAAGCGUUGUCCGGAAUCAUUGGGCGUAAAGAGCGCGUAGGCGGUCCGGUAAGUCCGCUCUGAAAGUCCGGGGCUCAACCCCGGGAGGCGGGCGGAUACUGUCGGGCUAGAGUCCGGAAGAGGCGAGUGGAAUUCCUGGUGUAGCGGUGAAAUGCGCAGAUAUCUGGAGGAACACCGGUGGCGAAGGCGGCAUCCUGGACCGGUAUUGACGCUGAGACGCGAAAGCGUGGGGAGCGAACAGG